rnacentral:rRNA from 1 species
UUAUCGUUUAUUUGAUUGUACUUUACUACAUGGAUACCUGUGGUAAUUCUAGAGCUAAUACAUGCGAAAAAUCCCAACUUCUGGAAGGGAUGUAUUUAUUAGAUUAAAAACCAAUGCGUGCUUUCGGGCACGUUUUCUUGGUGAUUCAUGAUAACUUUUCGAAUCGCAUGGCCUAGCGCCGGCGAUAUUUCAUUCAAAUUUCUGCCCUAUCAACUGUCGAUGGUAAGGUAGUGGCUUACCAUGGUUAUAACGGGUGACGGAGAAUUAGGGUUCGAUUCCGGAGAGGGAGCCUGAGAAACGGCUACCACAUCUAAGGAAGGCAGCAGGCUCGAAAAUUACCCAAUCCCGACUCGGGGAGGUAGUGACAAGAAAUAACGAUACGGGGUCUUAAUAGGUCUCGCAAUUGGAAUGAGUACAAUUUAAAUCCUUUAACGAGGAUCAAUUGGAGGGCAAGUCUGGUGCCAGCAGCCGCGGUAAUUCCAGCUCCAAUAGCGUAUAUUAAAGUUGUUGCAGUUAAAAAGCUCGUAGUUGGAUUUCGGAGUGGGCCAGUUGGUCCGCCGCAAGGUGUGUUACUGACUGGUUUGCUCUUCUUCGCAAAGACUGCGUGUGCUCUUUGUUGAGUGUGCGUAGGAUUUACGACGUUUACUUUGAAAAAAUUAGAGUGUUCAAAGCAGGCUAUUGC